UACGUAGGGUGCGAGCGUUGUCCGGAAUUACUGGGCGUAAAGAGCUCGUCGGUGGUUUGUCGCGUUGUUCGUGAAAACUCACAGCUUAACUGUGGGCGUGCGGGCGAUACGGGCAGACUGGAGUACUGCAGGGGAGACUGGAAUUCCUGGUGUAGCGGCGGAAUGCGCAGAUAUCAGGAGGAACACCGGUGGCGAAGGCGGGUCUCUGGGCAGUAACUGACGCUGAGGAGCGAAAGCGUGGGGAGCGAACAGG
rnacentral:rRNA from 1 species